CAGCAGUAGGGAAUUUUGCGCAAUGGGCGAGAGCCUGACGCAGCAACGCCGCGUGAACGAUGACGCCCCUCGGGAUGUAAAGUUCUGUCAGUGGGGACAAAAUUUGACGGUACCCACAGAGGAAGCACCGGCUAACUCCGUG
rnacentral:rRNA from 1 species